CCACCAGGCCUCGAUGCCCCUUGCCUGCCAAGGAAAGAUGUACAGCGAAGAUGUGAAAAUUAUCUGUCAGUUGAUGAGCUUUUACCCAAUAAGUUGUCUUUCUUACUGACUAGGGCAUCUCUAUUUACAGGAGGCAAAACAGAGGUCUCAGGUCAGUCUGCAGCCCUCCGCUGCCCCAACCUUGGCUGCCUGGAAGACUCUGACUUGCUGGGGAGAGAUGACUUCUGCCCCUGGGGGAUCCACACAGGCUGAGCCUUACACAGAGCCUGGUGCUCCCCUGGGGCCUAGAGAUUCCUCUUCUGUCGAGUGGAGAGAAUCAGCCCAUCUCCUGCAACACAGAAGUAACUGGUGAAUUUAAAGCCCUCUAGGUGAUUGUGAGGCACCCUCACGUUUGACAAACGUCUGCUCCCCGCGCUUGGUUGGUGAAGGAAUCAAUUCUGCUGAACUACCACUUGGGGGCAGCACAGGAUUGCGAGGUAAGCAUUGUCUAAUUAAAAGCACCCGCAAAUACAAAAGCCCCCCACCGCCCUUCCUGCCUCCAGGCUUGGCCGAGCCCCCCUCAGUUCUUCCCACACAGCCUGAGCCACCUCUUGAAACCCCAAACCCAAUCGUGUCACUGGUUCAGAAUUCUUCAUCAGCUCCCUAUGGCGUGAAAGGCCCUUCAUCUGCCCAGCGGUCUCCUAAUGCGGGCAUCUUGCACGUCCCCACGUUCUCGUUCUCUUUGAGUCUUACCUGGAAUCAGACCGACCUGGGUGUGAAUUUCAGCUCUGCCAUUUACCAUCUUGGGUGUGUCUUGGGCAAGACAGACACAUCAUUCUGAGCCUCAGUUUCCUCAUCCGUGAAAUGGGGGCAAUUAAUAAGACUUUUCUUAUGUGGCUGUUAUUCGAGAGAGCUUGUUUAUAAAGGGAUUCUAGCCUAAGGUCUCACAAACAGUGCUCAGUAUGCAGCAACUCUGCUUCCCCUGGGCACUGCCAAGCACAACGUAGAAUCAGGGUCCACACUCCUGCCUUCAGGCCAGGUGUGGUGGAUGCUGUCUGAGCCCCAGCCAACACCCCAGCGUCAUGAGUUCCAGCUACCAGCACCUGCAUCUCUUUUCUUGGGGCUUCCUCUGGCUUCUGGCACCCACUGUGGUGCCAGGACCAUAAAACUCUGUUCAAUGAGCCUAAGAAUAGUGCUUACCUUGUGCCACUGGGGGGAGGGCCUUGUUAGUGCUCCGCAUAGAAUAGGUCCUCAGACUUUUGCUGUGGGGGUGACAUAGCACUUGCCCUCCUCAUGCCCAUCUCUGUAAUUCCCCCUACCCACAGGAGCGGUGGCUGUGUCAGCAUAUCAGGAAGUAGAUGAAAGACCCAGGGGAGACCCGAAGGGGCUUCGCUGACUGGUGGCUCCCUGCUCUGCCGCUGCUGACCUCCCGUCCUUGGGCCAUUUAAGCUGGCUCCUGCCCACCCCCUUUCAGACAUCUAAGAUUCCUGAGUUGGUGUCAUAGGAUGUAAGAGGACACCAGGCACUGGGGGCUGCCAGAUAACCCUGGCACCUUGGCAGGGCAGCUGGUGCUGUGUGGGCACACGGAACACAGAGCAUCUCAGGCUGGGGAGCUGGAAGUGACCCAGCCCUUCAGCCUGCAGCCUGCAGGGCCAGGGCCACAGACCUUGUCCAACAGUCACUGUCAUCAGGACCCCACUCUUUUUGCGACUGCCUCCUGGGAUUUGCGUUGCCCUUGGGCUUCGUGUUGUGUGUGGGGCUAGUCCUGACCCUGGCUACAGUAGGCAUUCAUCUACACAACUUGAUGUAUGAGGCUCCAAGACACACCCUUCUCCUCAGCCUAAGUAUCUCUGCCACCAGCCUGUCAUACCGUGUGACUGUGCAGGAAGCCCUAGGGUUAAGUGUUGCCCUUUUCCAGGCACUCUGAAAAAGUUAGCACUCUGUAGUCAGGACCAGCUACAUGAUUCGUGGAGCCCCAUGCAAAACGAAAAUGCAGGGUUUCUUCUUCAAAAAUUAUGAAGAAUUUCAAGACAGUGACAGUGGAGCGUGAAGCCAGGUAUAGGGUCCUGUGUGACUGCACAGGUGUCACACUCAUGAAGCCCACUCUGACUGCGGCCCUUACCUCUCAGCGUGUCUGAGUUUGUCAGCAACUUUCCCCACCCCGAGGAGGAGCACUGGUGCUGCUCAGAGAAGACGUGAGGACACAAAGUCUAAAUGUGUCCCUUACUCAGCUCUGUUGUCUCGGAGACACUUGGAGCCAGUGUUCUCUGCCCAGCUGGCCUUUCUCACUGCGCUGCCCACCCCUCCUGCUCCUGGAGUCCUGGCAGCGUAUGGGGCCUUUUCUACCUCUGGCCUGGCUGACCCCAGGCGGGCCUUACUCAUUCCCCUCUGCUGCUGUGUUUGCCUUGUCUGUUCUGGGAUGUGGGGCUGAUCCCUUGAGACCCCUUUCCUCUUUCCCGGACAACCACCAGACCUCUGGAUUUAGGUCUUAGCAGUCCCUGGAGAGCCCCCAGACACACUGCUCGUACGCAGGGCUCCUCUAGGCUCUCCCCAGGCCCACUUUCCCAGUUUCUCCACUCAGCUCUGUACCCCAGGAGGCUGAGCUGUGUGGCUGCCCCAGAGGGCUGCCUGCACUCUGGCUUCUGGUUGGAUGUAACCAAUGGGAGCAGUAGCAGGAAAUUGGAGGUUGGGAGGAAUGAGAGAGGUGAGGCAUUUAUUCCCCCAGGUCCUUCCCGAAGCCUCCUGAAGCCCAAGCAGCUGCAGCCAGGCUGUGUCUCAGUCUUGCAGUCCUGGGUCACAGCUUCUUGUCAGGUAGCUAUCUCCAUUCAGCCCUCUCUGGCUGCAGGCUCUAACACUCCUGGCUAACAGCUCCCCCCACUUGGCCCGAAGGCCGGGAGCGGUCACAGAAUCCAGCUGUCACUACUGUUCCUUCCCUUGAGAUCUUCUGAUACACUGCCCAAACCUUUAUAAAUAGUCCCUUUAGUAAACUCUCCUAGAAUUAUCCUAAUUUGAAUUUGCAUCGCUUUGCUUCUGGAACUCUGACUGAUACUAGGAUCUUUGUUCUCUGUUGCACCCCAAAUCUAUCUUUGUAGCCCCCAAUCCCCAGAGACAGUCAGGUCAAGGGCUGAGUAUCCAGGAACUCAGGCCAGGGUCCACUCCCUGGCUCCUUAGAGAGCACCCACAGGAGAAGUGGGGACCCUCCCUCAUGUUUCCCCAAAUGUGUCCACCAGACCGACCAUCCUCAGCUAAUGGGGAACCAGGGACUUAGAAGUUGUGUUUCAUUCUUCAGCUUCAGGGCCUGGUGGAGACAAGGUGAUCCCCUCCACCAGAGCACCCCACCCUGAGACAGGUCCCUUUUGACCAGGUAACCAGACAGGCAGAGAAUUAGACAGCUAGGCAACCAGAUGACCAAACAACUAGGCAAGCAGACAAGGAGGCAGCACUCUCGAAGGUGCUUAUCUGUGGGUUUUGCUGUUCCACCUCCACUCUCCCUUUUCCCGGUAGCAGAUUUUCCUUUGGGGAGCCUUUCCUCCCUCCCUCUCAGCCCCCUAGCUCACCUUUGACCUAGGCCUAAGCCAGUCAGCCAAUCAAGCUUAACCAAAGCCGAUCCCAGGACCCGAGAAACCAGGAAAAGUUUCUUUCUUGCUCGACCUGCUGAGAGGCAGAGGUGUCUGGAGCUGCUGCUGCCCUUUUAAAUCCAGGACCUGAAAGAACCUGAAAGAAGGCAGGGCUGAGAGACAGACAUUGUUUGAGCCCUGAUUAAGCCAUUCCUGAAGGUUGCUACCCUGGAAACUUUCAGUUAUGUGAACCAAUAAAUUCCCUUUUUUUUUUUUUUUUUGAGGAACA
rnacentral:lncRNA from 1 species